rnacentral:rRNA from 1 species
AUGAACGCUGGCGGCGUGCCUAAUACAUGCAAGUCGAGCGAACAGACGAGGAGCUUGCUCCUUCGACGUUAGCGGCGGACGGGUGAGUAACACGUAGGUAACCUACCUAUAAGUCUGGGAUAACUUCGGGAAACCGGAGCUAAUACCGGAUAAUAUUUCGAACCGCAUGGUUCGAUAGUGAAAGAUGGCUUUGCUAUCACUUAUAGAUGGACCUGCGCCGUAUUAGCUAGUUGGUAAGGUAACGGCUUACCAAGGCAACGAUACGUAGCCGACCUGAGAGGGUGAUCGGCCACACUGGAACUGAGACACGGUCCAGACUCCUACGGGAGGCAGCAGUAGGGAAUCUUCCGCAAUGGGCGAAAGCCUGACGGAGCAACGCCGCGUGAGUGAUGAAGGUCUUCGGAUCGUAAAACUCUGUUAUUAGGGAAGAACAAACGUGUAAGUAACUGUGCACGUCUUGACGGUACCUAAUCAGAAAGCCACGGCUAACUACGUG